rnacentral:rRNA from 1 species
GGACUACCCGGGUAUCUAAUCCUGUUCGCUCCCCACGCUUUCGCUCCUCAGCGUCAGUACAGGCCCAGAGAACCGCCUUCGCCACCGGUGUUCCUCCUGAUAUCUGCGCAUUUCACCGCUACACCAGGAAUUCCGUUCUCCCCUGCCUGCCUCCAGCCUGCCCGUAUCCACUGCAGGCCCGGGGUUGAGCCCCGGGGUUUCACAGCGGACGCAACAGGCCGCCUACGAGCUCUUUACGCCCAAUAAUUCCGGACAACGCUUGCGCCCUACGUAUUACCGCGGCGGCUGGCAC